GACGUAGGGCGCGAGCGUUGUCCGGAUUUAUUGGGCGUAAAGAGCUCGUAGGCGGUUUGUCGCGUCUGCUGUGAAAACCUAAGGCUCAACCUUGGGCUUGCAGUGGGUACGGGCAGACUAGAGUGCGGUAGGGGUGACUGGAAUUCCUGGUGUAGCGGUGGAAUGCGCAGAUAUCAGGAGGAACACCGAUGGCGAAGGCAGGUCACUGGGCCGCAACUGACGCUGAGGAGCGAAAGCCAGGGGAGCAAACGGG
rnacentral:rRNA from 1 species